rnacentral:rRNA from 1 species
AGUUUGAUCCUGGCUCAGAUUGAACGCUGGCGGCAUGCCUUACACAUGCAAGUCGAACGGCAGCACGGGGGCAACCUUGGUGGCGAGUGGCGAACGGGUGAGUAAUGCAUCGGAACGUGCCCAGUAGUGGGGGAUAACUAGUCGAAAGAUUAGCUAAUACCGCAUACGACCUAUGGGUGAAAGCGGGGGAUUCGCAAGAACCUCGCGCUAUCGGAGCGGCCGAUGUCUGAUUAGCUAGUUGGCGGGGUAAAAGCCCACCAAGGCUUCGAUCAGUAGCUGGUCUGAGAGGACGACCAGCCACACUGGGACUGAGACACGGCCCAGACUCCUACGGGAGGCAGCAGUGGGGAAUUUUGGACAAUGGGCGCAAGCCUGAUCCAGCCAUGCCGCGUGCGGGAGAGAAGGCCUUCGGGUUGUAAACCGCUUUUGGCAGGAACGAAACGGCGCGAGCGAAUAUCUCGCGUUAAUGACUGUACCUGCAGAAUAAGCACCGGCUAACUACGUGCCAGCAGCCGCGGUAAUACGUACCGGUGCAAGCGUUAAUCAGAAUUACUGGGCGUAAAUGCGUACGCAGGGCGGCUUAGCUACGACAGGGUGUGACCAUCCCCCGGGGCCUAGCCGUGGGUAAACUGCAUUUUGUUGACCUGCAUUUGGCUACCGCUUUAGUCAGGACGGGGUGGGUGAAGUUCACCACCGUGUUACCGAGUUGAACAUUGCGUUACAAUCAUUUUGGUAGGCAACCACCUGCAAUGGGCGUUAUGGGCCGUCGC